rnacentral:rRNA from 1 species
UACGAACUGUGCAAACGUUAUUCGGAAUCACUGGGCUUAAAGGGUGCGUAGGCGGCCAUUUAAGUAGGGUGUGAAAGCCCCCGGCUUAACCGGGGAAUUGCGUCCUAAACUGGGUGGCUGGAGUGAGAUAGAGGUGUGUGGAACUUCCGGUGGAGCGGUGAAAUGUGUUGAUAUCGGAAGGAACGCCGGUGGCGAAAGCGACACACUGGGUCUCAACUGACGCUGAGGCACGAAAGCCAGGGGAGCGAACGGG